UCAGAACUCCUCCAAUGUACCUUCAUGAUGUUUUGGAAAUCCUUGUGAUUGGCCCAAGCAUUAUAGAAUUUGAAGGGUGCCUUCCUGACAGUAAUAUCUUCCAUCAAAGUGAGGACCGUUGGAUUAUGAUCAGAGAUUAAAGGAGGGUCAUAUACAGUCUGUACAUGACUCCAUUUAAUCAUCCAUUCAUAAUUACCAAAUAUUCUGUCUAAUCUACUACAAACUCUUUCAUUACCAGUCUGUUUAUUAGUCCAUGUGAAGAAAUUCCCUUUCCAAGGAAGUUCUGAUAAUUCAGCCAAUUGGAUGCAUUGAAUAAAAUCCAGUGUCUCAGCUUGCUUAACUUGAGUACAUGACUAUCUGCCAUUGACAGACAUCACAGCAUUGAAAUCACCUGCAACCAGCCAAGGAUCAGUAAUACCAGAAGNNNN
rnacentral:lncRNA from 1 species